GAUGAACGCUGGCGGCGUGCCUAAUACAUGCAAGUAGAACGCUGAAGGAAGGAGCUUGCUCUUUCCGGAUGAGUUGCGAACGGGUGAGUAACGCGUAGGUAACCUGCCUGGUAGCGGGGGAUAACUAUUGGAAACGAUAGCUAAUACCGCAUAACAGUAGAUGUUGCAUGAUACCUACUUAAAAGGUGCAAUUGCACCACUACCAGAUGGACCUGCGUUUUAUUAGCUAGUUGGUGAGGUAACGGCUCACCAAGGCGACGAUACAUAGCCGACCUGAGAGGGUGAUCGGCCACACUGGGACUGAGACACGGCCCAGACUCCUACGGGGGGCAGCAGUAGGGAAUCUUCGGCAAUGGACGGAAGUCUGACCGAGCAACGCCGCGGGAGUGAAGAAGGUUUUCGGAUCGUAAAGCUCUGUUGUAAGAGAAGAACGAGUGUGAGAGUGGAAAGUUCACACUGUGACGGUAUCUUAUCAGAAAGGGACGGCUAACUACGUG
rnacentral:rRNA from 1 species